rnacentral:tRNA from 1 species
GGGUUUGUGGCUCAGUGGUAGAGCGCUUGCCUAGCAUGUGUGAGGCACUGGGUUCAAUCCUCAGCACCA